AUGUUUGAGAGAAGCGUGAGAGAUACGAGGAGAGAGAAAAGCUGGAAUUCUAUGCGAGCAUCUUAUCGAAGCCCAAUGUGUACCCUUCCUCCAGCCACUGUCAGAUCUUCAUCAAAUCAUUACACAUCAUCAUCCAAUGCUCAUAAUAGCGAUCCCACUGUGCACCCUCACAAAAUCAGCUGCAUCGGAUCAACCAGAAGGCUUUGGGUCUCCCUUUAUUUGGGCCUGGAUGGACUUCUAUUCACACCCCCCAGAAUUGCUGCAAUUAGGCCCAUUUCUAAAUAUUUCUCUUUUAUUUUAUUAUUUAUACUUAUUUAG